UACGUAGGGUGCGAGCGUUGUCCGGAAUCACUGGGCGUAAAGGGCGCGUAGGCGGCGCGGGCAGUCAACGGUGAAAGCUCGAUGCUCAACAUCGAGUCGGCCGUCGAUACUGUCGGGCUGGAGCACUGUAGAGGCUCAUGGAAUUCCGGGUGUAGCGGUGGAAUGCGUAGAGAUCCGGAAGAACACCGGUGGCGAAGGCGGUGAGCUGGGCAGUAGCUGACACUGAGGCGCGACAGCGUGGGGAGCAAACAGG
rnacentral:rRNA from 1 species